AGAUCCUCAACAUGAUGCUCCUCUGACAAGUGUGAUGAACUGGCUUUUGCCUUCCGUCUCGCUGCCUUCUUCUUUUUCCGUUUCUCCUUCUUUUUGCUAGCCCUAAGCUCAGGGGAGAACUGUCUCAGAGGAGAAGAAGAAACAUUAUGCUCUCUAUACUCAUAAGCGGAAUGACGUGAUGGAGAAGGAGUUUUGUAGCGUGCUGGGACAUCACUCGUGGACAAACGACGCUGCACUGGUCUAGCAUCCUGCGGAGUAGUGUCUGCAAAAGCUGUGGUGGUGGAGGCGCAGCUAAAC
rnacentral:lncRNA from 1 species